rnacentral:rRNA from 1 species
AACCAGCUCUUCAAGUGGUCGGGAUAAUUAUUGGGCUUAAAGUGUCCGUAGCCGGUUUAGUAAGUUCCUGGUAAAAUCGGGUAGCUUAACUAUCUAUAUGCUAGGAAUACUGCUAUACUAGAGGGCGGGAGAGGUCUGAGGUACUACAGGGGUAGGGUGAAUCUUAUAAUCCUUGUAGGACCACCAGUGGCGAAGGCGUCAGACUGGAACGCGCCUGACGGUGAGGGACGAAAGCCAGGGGAGCGAACCGGAUUAGAUAUCUGGGUAGUCCUGGCUGUAAACGAUGCAUACUAGGUGAUGGUACGGCCAUGAGCCGUGUCAGUGCCGUAGGGAAACCGUUAAGUGUGCCGCCUGGGAAGUACGGUCGCAAGGCUAAAACUUAAAGGAAUUGGCGGGGGAGCACCACAAGGGGUGAAGCCUGCGGUUC